GGGCCCGCGGCCUAUCAGCUUGUUGGUGAGGUUACGGCUCACCAAGGCGACGACGGGUAGCCGGCCUGAGAGGGUGACCGGCCACACUGGGACUGAGAUACGGCCCAGACUCCUACGGGAGGCAGCAGUGCGGAAUAUUGCACAAUGGGCGCAAGCCUGAUGCAGCGACGCCGCGUGAGGGAUGACGGCCUUCGGGUUGUAAACCUCUUUCGCCAGGGACGAAGCGCAAGUGACGGUACCUGGAGAAGAAGGACCGGCCAACUACGUGCCAGCAGCCACGGUAAUACGUAGGGUCCGAGCGUUGUCCGGAAUUACUGGGCGUAAAGAGCUCGUAGGUGGUUUGUCGCGUUGUUCGUGAAAACUCACAGCUUAACUGUGGGCGUGCGGGCGAUACGGGCAGACUGGAGUACUGCAGGGGAGACUGGAAUUCCUGGUGUAGCGCUGGAAUGCGCAGAUAUCAGGAGGAACACCGGUGGCGAAGGCGGGUCUCUGGGCAGUAACUGACGCUGAGGAGCGAAAGCGUGGGGAGCGAACAGGAUUAGAUACCCUGGUAGUCCACCCCGUAAACGGUGGGUACUAGGUGUGGGUUUCCUUCCUUGGGAUCCGUGCCGUACCUAACGCAUUAAGUACCCCGCCUGGGGAGUACGGCCGCAAGGCUAAAACUCAAAGAAAUUGACGGGGGCCCGCACAAGCGGCGGAGCAUGUGGAUUAAUUCGAUGCAACGCGAAGAACCUUACCUGGGUUUGACAUGCACAGGACGUAUCUAGAGAUAGGUAUUCCCUUGUGGCCUGUGUGCAGGUGGUGCAUGGCUGUCGUCAGCUCGUGUCGUGAGAUGUUGGGUUAAGUCCCGCAACGAGCGCAACCCUUGUCUCAUGUUGCCAGCACGUAAUGGUGGGGACUCGUGAGAGACUGCCGGGGUCAACUCGGAGGAAGGUGGGGAUGACGUCAAGUCAUCAUGCCCCUUAUGUCCAGGGCUUCACACAUGCUACAAUGGCCGGUACAAAGGGCUGCGAUGCCGUGAGGUGGAGCGAAUCCUUGUUAAAGCCGGUCUCAGUUCGGAUCGGGGUCUGCAAC
rnacentral:rRNA from 1 species